GAUGAACGCUGGCGGCGUGCCUAAUACAUGCAAGUCGAGCGAACAGAUGAGAAGCUUGCUUCUCUGAUGUUAGCGGCGGACGGGUGAGUAGCACGUGGGUAACCUACCUAUAAGACUGGGAUAACUCCGGGAAACCGGGGCUAAUACCGGAUAAUAUUUUGAACCGCAUGGUUCAAUAGUGAAAGACGGUUUCGGGUGUCACUUAUAGAUGGACCCGCGCCGUAUUAGCUAGUUGGUAAGGUAACGGCUUACCAAGGCGACGAUACGUAGCCGACCUGAGGGGGGGAUCGGCCACAAUGGAACUGAGACACGGUCCAGACUCCUACGGGAGGCAGCAGUAGGGAAUCGUCCGCAAUGGGCGAAAGCCUGACGGAGCAACGCCGCGUGAGUGAUGAAGGUCUUCGGAUCGUAAAACUCUGUUGUUAGGGAAGAACAAAUUUGUUAGUAACUGAACAAGUCUUGACGGUACCUAACCAGAAAGCCACGGCUAACUACGUGCCAGCCGCCGCAGUAA
rnacentral:rRNA from 1 species